rnacentral:tRNA from 1 species
GAAGGUAUAAUUCAGUGGUAGAGUACAUGCUUAGCAUGCACAAGGAAGGUCCUGGGUUCAAUUCCCCAGUACCUCCA